GACGAACGCUGGCGGCGUGCCUAAUACAUGCAAGUAGGACGCAGUUGCGAACGGGUGCGUCACGCGUAGGUCACUGCCUAUUAGCGGGGGAUAACUAUUGGAAACGAUAGCUAAUACCGCAUACUAGUAGCUGGACCUGCGUUGUAUUAGCUAGGUGGUAGGGUAAUGGCCUAACUAGGCAACGAUACAUAGCCGACCUGAGAGGGUGAUCGGCCACACUGGGACUGAGACACGGCCCAGACCUCCACGGGAGGCAGCAGUAGGGAAUCUUCGGCAAUGGGGGGAACCCUGACCGAGCAACGCCGCGUGAGUGAAGAAGGUUUUCGGAUCGUAAAGCUCUGUUGUUAAGGAAGCGGUACUUAACCAGAAAGGGACGGCUAACUACGUGCCAGCAGCCGCGGUAAUAC
rnacentral:rRNA from 1 species